UAAACACUCAAUUAUUUCAGACUUUUAACAGAGCUUGAAGAAGAAAAGCUGUCAUAUUCUUAUGAUCUAAGAAAUUUUGUGUAUUCUAAUGCUAAUCUAUAAAUUAAAAACACAAUUAUUACAUUAAACAUAAUGUUAACUGGGGGGAAAUCUGUAAUUGUCUCCGUAUAUGUUACAUAUUGUUUCGUACUUUGUGAGACAUGUAGCUUCAUUUCAAGUCUGACAUUAUUUGCAAGUUGUAGUGGUGCUGUUGCAUGACUUUGAGACCUGUUUUGCAUGCACAGGCUAAAAAGAAAAAGAAGGAAGAAGCGGCAAAUGCCAAAUUAUUGGAGGCCGAGAAACGAAUAAAGGGAAAAGAAAUGAGAAGACAACAAGCUGUUCUUCUGAAACAUCAGGAGUUGGAGAGGCAUAGACUAGAUAUGGAACGAGAGCGAAGGCGACAACACAUGAUGCUUAUGAAAGCUAUGGAGGCUCGUAAAAAAGCAGAAGUAAGUGUAUCUUUCUAGAAAAAAUAUUACCUUAUAAAGUACCACUUUUCCUAAGGCAUUGGCUCCUCUAAAUA
rnacentral:lncRNA from 1 species